ACGGCCAUACCAUGAUGAAUAUACCGGUUCUGGUUAGAUAACCGAAGUCAAGCAUCAUUGGGCGCGGUCAGUACCACCUGGGAACACCGCGUGCCGUU